CCUCAUUCCUAUAGUUUAAAGGAAUUUAAAUGACUAAUUGUAUUUUAACAGACUUUCCUUGUAGUUGUUUGUUUAGCCUCAUUUGCUUGCAUUGCUUCUAGUGGUUAGUAGCAACUAUGCUGUAAAUAAAACCCUUCAAAAUUGUUUCUCUUUAUUGUAGGAGUGCAGCAAAUUUGGCAGGAAGAUUUAAAGGAGGAAUCGAAACCAAGACUACGUUAGUUUCUACGGGAUUUUGAUUAUUGUCAAUAUUUGUGAAAUUAACAGCCGCACACCGAAUGAAGUCGAAAGUUGUGAAGAUGAAAUAUUUGCCUUCGGGCGGGCAGAAGGAAACUUACACGCUACUCACCGCCAGAAGAAGAUACAUGAAGAAAUUAAUUAAUUAAAAGCGGCACUUGGCGUGUAUUUGUCAUCCCAAAAAAGGAAAUACGUAUGUAGAUGAGAUGCGGUAGUUUGAUAAAUUACAGGACCUUUUCUCGGUAGCCACUAAUGAAGCUUAGUUUAUGUUCGUCUAGACAAAUUAAUUAUUUAUGAUGAUGAUUUCAUUGAAAAGCUCAGAAUAUAAUUCUUCGAUAAUAUGAACAUGAAAAUGUAUAAAAAAAGUCAACAUAUAUUUGUGCGAAAAGGACAGUUACAUGUAUGUAUCUACUUGACUAUAUUUUAAUAAUAAUUUUUCAAACAAAAUUUCACAAAAAAUGGAAAAAGAAAUUAUGAAA